GAAGAGAAGAACUUUAUAUCCCACAGUGAUCCCCUAGCACCCUUCUUCUGACCUCCACACCCAGGAGCUCCUUUGUUCCUCAGGGCUGCUGGCUCAUCUGCUUCGAAAAAGGGGCACACACUGCCAGCAUUCAGGAAGCUGCAGCCUCUCCCACCAGUGCCUGCAGCACCACAGACACUUCCACUGCUUGCCAGCUGCAAAGAGAACAUGCUGGGAAUCUCUGGCAGGAGAGCACUUUGGGAAGCUGACACUGAUUAGUCACCCUGAGUGUGUUGGGGGACACCUGAGGGAAAAGAGUGGCUCCAGGACCUUCUGCAGACAUUACUGCCACAGGAACUGAAAGAUCCUACCAGCUGUGCAAUGGAGAGCCAACAGAGAUGUGCAGCUACAGCACUGCAUGGGGACAGUGUUUUGUUCAGCUAGAUACAGGCCAGCCAUGGCCACACAAUUCUGCAUCAAACAAGUCCUGUCCUUCAGCAGAAAUUAGUUCAGGGGAGCAUUAUCCAAUAUGAUUAUGCUGCACCUAGCUCCAAAUAUAGCUUCGGAAUUCCUCAUCCUCGCUCUAGAAUGAGCUGCUGAUGUGCCCUAAUUUUAUUUCUUGAACUCAAGACUCUUCAAGAAUUACAGGUUUCCAAUCCUAUCCCUUCUCAAAAUCUAGUUUUUUUACUUUUUUAAAAUUCAAAACUUGAGUACCUACUUUCAGAAGGUCCAAAGUAAAGAAGUUGAAGGGAAAUGAAGCAUCUCUGUGUCUCCCAAGGGAGAUAUUUCAAAAACAAACAUCAGCUUUUAUUAAGGCCUCCUUUAAGAAACUAUGUGUUCAGUAGGCAUCCAGUGGAAUUGUCUCACUUGUAUCACAGAAGAGUUGGGAACAGCACUUCAGAAUCUGCAUUCCUCUGGGCAAUCAAAAUUGAGGUAAAGUCAUGCUAUAAUUCACAAUUCUUAGAUCCAGUUUACCCUUGUAACCUUCAGCUACCCCACACAGAGCACAAUUUUCUUGGCUGAUGAGCAGAAAGGAAAAGUUUACCUGAAAUAAAUACACAUAAUUAAAAAAGGAACGUCUUAAUGGGUUUUUUUAAGAUUUUCAUAGGGAAUUAUUUCACUAGAGCA